rnacentral:lncRNA from 1 species
UCACAUAAAUAUACUCCCAAAAUACUAUUCACAUCAGAUUGUGGCUCAGGUACAGAUAUUUUUCGUCUGCCCUUCAGAACGUCCGAUUGAGCUCAAACUUGGCAGUCACGAUCAGUUUAACCUUACUUAACGAAAGAAAUUUUAAUCUUUCAGUUUCGACCCCGUUUGGUCACUGAAAGCUGUACAAAACUGUAAUUUUUAUCAGAUAACUGUCGGAUUGUAAUUUCCACCUUCUGGGUGUCAGAAUGGCAUGAAACUUUAAAUCUAGCCUCAUAAAAAUAAUCCUAACGUAUUCGCAAAUUUUCGGAAUUUUCUGACACCGUGCAUUUUCUGCUAAAAUAUCAGCCCGGUCUCACACAGAAAAUUCUCAAUCUUCUAUUUUCACUCCGAUUUCCGCACGAGUCAAUCCUGACGUAUAAUUUACUUGUCUAAGUCUAAUAAAAAUAGUAUCUCACACUAUUUUUAUUUAUAUUCACUUUUAAUAAAAAAAAAAAUCCGGUAUGCUACAUAAGCUUUGCCCCUUCUCAUACUAAAUUCCAAACUAGGGUUUGGAUUAACCUAGAAAUGGUUUUAAUGGAGUAUUUAGAGUAUUGGAAGCUUUUCUUUUGCUUCUUUUGAAAUCAAGACCAUAGAAAUGGUGAAGCUUGAGGUGAGCUUCAUCACCUCUCAUGGUGAAACCCUAAGUAGGGUUUUGAUUUGUCUAAAGAUGGUUCUAAUGGACUUUUUAGAGGAUAAUGAAGCUACUUUUGCUUCCCAUUGAGAUCAAAC